ACAAAAUGAAACUUGAGAACUAACAAAACCUAAUUGACAUGUACGAGGUCUCUAAAAACAACAGUCACCGUCUCCUCCUCCCUAAAUUUAAGUACCGAUACCAUUACCUGCGCUGUUUCCGCCUGGCCAACGUCAACCUAGGACACUAGCAACCCGUCGCCAAAGGCAGUCUGAUUUCAACUUUGCGCGAAUCACUACGUAAUAUUGACGGGACGCCGGCGGGAUUUCCAGCCUUCAUUCCGUUCAUUUGCUACAGAAAUCGUUUAUUAAGCUCCAACAGCAGGAUUGUGGAGCAGUUUAUUAUUGCAAAUUCAAUGAAGCAUGUUGUGAAGAUCUUGACACUAGUUGUGGCCAUCACUUCCUUUUGGAUCGGCCUCUUGCAGACAUCUGUUAUCCCGAGUAGCCAUACUUGGUUGCUGCCUAUCUAUUUUGUUGUGUCCCUGGGUUGCUACGGAUUAUUAAUGGUUGGUAUUGGGUUGAUGUGUUUUCCAACUUGCCCUCAAGAAGCACUUCUAUUGCAGCAGGACAUCAAAGAGGCCAAAGAAUACCUGAAGCAAAACAAGGUUGAUGUUGGCUCUGAUUGAUGGGUUGAAGGUGGUUUCUAUUUGUUACGGAUGCAAAGGAAGAACCCAAGUUGGCAGGGGAAUGCAUUGAAACUUAAUCUUGACUUUUCGGUAGUGCAAAUUGGUAUACGUUACAAAUGCAGGAAACUAAAGAAAUUUUCUUUCAUUAUAUGAACACUCUCGAUGCCUGUAACUCUGAAGUCAUAAAAAAUAUCUACACAAAGCUUACAAAUCGAAAAAUCUACUUAAGUAAGAAGAAUAAUAAUAUUAUUAUGCGGCCGACUAUAUUUUUGUUUCUAAAUUUAAGUUUUACCAUAAUUGUGAAAAUUAUAUAUAUCCAAAUUAAAAAAAAAAAAGUAAUUGCAAUUUUAAUGCAUUAUUAUUUAUAUCUUUGUUUUGGUAAGGUGAUGGCGGUUGGAAGUUCGUUAAUUUUGUGAAGUUUAAUCAAUUGUCCUACUUUUUAUAGUGUCUGUCUUUUUUUAAUUUGUUUCAUCUUUUGGCCUUUCCUUGAAGCGUGUGAUCUUUCAUAGUUGUUAGGUUAGAUAUUAGACAUGAGGUUUGGCUUAUUUAAUGUGAUUAGUUUUGUUAUCAAAGAAUGAUCUAAAUUGGAGGAAAUAUUUUGUAAAAAAAAUUUAUGUAAUAAUAAUAAGGGUGAAAUAACAUUUUCUCACCAAAGUUUGGCUUUAAGAAUUGUAUUUUUAUUAUAUAAAUCAUAUCUUUUCAGUCAAAUUUUAAUUACUACCAGCUGCUGUGGGAGCAUUUAACAACCCAAGUCCCAAGAAUAAACCCUUCCGGCAGCCCUGGUUUGAACUUAUUAGUAAUCGGCCACUCAAAACAAGGCCAUGAGAAUUUAGGCAAUUGAAGGAGAGUAUCCGGACAGGAUUCUCAUUGCUUCAAUUAUUGAGAAGUGCAACGAGGCUGCUUGGGAGGAGCUCAAUGAUCACUUUUGUGAACUGAUAUUUGCUUUGUUUACUGAUAAGUAUUAAUUUUCUCAAUCAUUUGUCUGGCAUUGUGCUGUUGUGUAGGAUGCUAAUGGAGUGAAUCUCUUGGGUCAUCAUGGAAUGCCAGAGCGAAAAAUGGGGGCGGCUAUCGGCCAAGAUUGCGGGCUGCUGGAGGAAGUUUGUGGAUGGAUAAAUGUGAAAGCUACUAAUCCCGUGAAGAUGACUUCUAACAUUACUCACAUUGUUGCAAUCCAAAGCCCAAAACCAUCACCGCCACCUUUUCUCACUGCUGUCAGACGGAACACAAACAAAAAAUUCAAUGACUAAAAACAAAAAAUCGAUGUUGCACAUAAGAUAUAGGUUAUGGUAUGUUCUAAAGUUUUCGGGUCAUUUUGUUGAAGUAGUUCUCUGUUUUUUAUGAAAAUAAGAGUUUAGCAAAUAUAAUAUAAAGAACGGUUUUUACUGA